AUGAACGCUAGCUACAGGCUUAACACAUGCAAGUCGAGGGGCAGCAUGAUUGAAGCUUGCUUCAAUCGAUGGCGACCGGCGCACGGGUGAGUAACACGUAUCCAACCUGCCGAUAACUCGGGGAUAGCCUUUCGAAAGAAAGAUUAAUACCCGAUAGCAUAGUAUUUCCGCAUGGUUUCACUAUUAAAGAACUUCGGUUAUCGAUGGGGAUGCGUUCCAUUAGAUAGUUGGCGGGGUAACGGCCCACCAAGUCAACGAUGGAUAGGGGUUCUGAGAGGAAGGUCCCCCACAUUGGAACUGAGACACGGUCCAAACUCCUACGGGAGGCAGCAGUGAGGAAUAUUGGUCAAUGGACGAGAGUCUGAACCAGCCAAGUAGCGUGAAGGAUGACUGCCCUAUGGGUUGUAAACUUCUUUUAUACGGGAAUAAAGUGGAGUAUGCAUACUCCUUUGUAUGUACCGUAUGAAUAAGGAUCGGCUAACUCCGUGCCAGCAGCCGCGGUAAUACGGAGGAUCCGAGCGUUAUCCGGAUUUAUUGGGUUUAAAGGGAGCGUAGGCGGGUGCUUAAGUCAGUUGUGAAAGUUUGCGGCUCAACCGUAAAAUUGCAGUUGAUACUGGGUACCUUGAGUGCAGCAUAGGUAGGCGGAAUUCGUGGUGUAGCGGUGAAAUGCUUAGAUAUCACGAAGAACUCCUAUUGCGAAGGCAGCUUACUGGACUGUAACUGACGCUGAUGCUCGAAAGUGUGGGUAUCAAACAGGAUUAGAUACCCUGGUAGUCCACACAGUAAACGAUGAAUACUCGCUGUUGGCGAUACACAGUCAGCGGCCAAGCGAAAGCAUUAAGUAUUCCACCUGGGGAGUACGCCGGCAACGGUGAAACUCAAAGGAAUUGACGGGGGCCCGCACAAGCGGAGGAACAUGUGGUUUAAUUCGAUGAUACGCGAGGAACCUUACCCGGGCUUAAAUUGCAGCGGAAUGUAGUGGAAACAUUACAGCCUUCGGGCCGCUGUGAAGGUGCUGCAUGGUUGUCGUCAGCUCGUGUCGUGAGGUGUCGGCUUAAGUGCCAUAACGAGCGCAACCCUUAUCUAUAGUUACUAUCAGGUCAUGCUGAGGACUCUAUGGAGACUGCCGUCGUAAGAUGUGAGGAAGGUGGGGAUGACGUCAAAUCAGCACGGCCCUUACGUCCGGGGCUACACACGUGUUACAAUGGGGGGUACAGAAGGCAGCUACCUGGCGACAGGAUGCUAAUCCCAAAAACCUCUCUCAGUUCGGAUUGGAGUCUGCAACCCGACUCCAUGAAGCUGGAUUCGCUAGUAAUCGCGCAUCAGCCACGGCGCGGUGAAUACGUUCCCGGGCCUUGUACACACCGCCCGUCACACCAUGGGAGUGGGUUGCAAAAGAAGUAGGUAGCUUAACCUUCGGGAGGGCGCUUACCACUUUGUGAUUCAUGACUGGGGUG
rnacentral:rRNA from 1 species